UGGGGAAUCUUGCGCAAUGGGCGAAAGCCUGACGCAGCGACGCCGCGUGAGGGAUGAAGGCCUUCGGGUUGUAAACCUCUUUCAGCGGGGACGAAGCGAAAGUGACGGUACCCGCAGAAGAAGCCCCGGCCAACUACGUGCCAGCAGCCGCGGUAAUACGUAGGGGGCUAGCGUUGUCCGGAUUUAUUGGGCGUAAAGAGCUCGUAGGCGGCUUCGUAAGUCGGACGUGAAAUCCCACGGCUUAACUGUGGGGCGCCGUUCGAUACUGCGAGGCUAGAGGCCGGUAGGGGGACGUGGAAUUCCUGGUGUAGCGGUGAAAUGCGCAGAUAUCAGGAGGAACACCGGUGGCGAAGGCGGCGUCCUGGGCCGGUCCUGACGCUGAGGAGCGAAAGCUGGGGGAGCAAACAG
rnacentral:rRNA from 1 species